GAUGAACGCUGGCGGCGUGCCUAAUACAUGCAAGUCGAGCGAACAGAUGAGGAGCUUGCUCCUCUGACGUUAGCGGCGGACGGGUGAGUAACACGUGGAUAACCUACCUAUAAGACUGGGAUAACUUCGGGAAACCGGAGCUAAUACCGGAUAAUAUAUUGAACCGCAUGGUUCAAUAGUGAAAGACGGUUUUGCUGUCACUUAUAGAUGGAUCCGCGCCGCAUUAGCUAGUUGGUAAGGUAACGGCUUACCAAGGCAACGAUGCGUAGCCGACCUGAGAGGGUGAACGGCCACACUGGAACUGAGACACGGUCCAGACUCCUACGGGAGGCAGCAGUAGGGAAUCUUCCGCGAUGGGCGAAAGCCUGACGGAGCAACGCCGCGUGAGUGAUGAAGGUCUUCGGAUCGUAAAACUCUGUUAUUAGGGAAGAACAAAUGUGUAAGUAACUAUGCACGUCUUGACGGUACCUAAUCAGAAAGCCACGGCUAACUACGUG
rnacentral:rRNA from 1 species